GUUGGGCAUGGUGGUGCGUGCUUGUAAUCCCAGCUACUCAGGAGGCUGAGGCAGGAGAAUCACUUGAACCCAGGAAGCGGAGGUUGCAGUGAGCUGGAUAGCGUCACUGCACUCCAGCCUGGGUGACAGAGUGAGACUCUGUCUCAA
rnacentral:SRP_RNA from 1 species